rnacentral:rRNA from 1 species
CAACUGGGGGGUCUUACCAUGCAGUCGAACGCUGAAGCACCAGCUUGCUGGUGUGGAUGAGUGGCGAACGGGUGAGUAAUACGUGAGUAACCUGCCCUUGACUCUGGGAUAAGCCCGGGAAACUGGGUCUAAUACUGGAUGCUACAUGUCACCGCAUGGUGGUGUGUGGAAAGGGUUUACUGGUCUUGGAUGGGCUCACGGCCUAUCAGCUUGUUGGUGAGGUAAUGGCUCACCAAGGCGACGACGGGUAGCCGGCCUGAGAGGGUGACCGGCCACACUGGGACUGAGACACGGCCCAGACUCCUACGGGAGGCAGCAGUGGGGAAUAUUGCACAAUGGGCGAAAGCCUGAUGCAGCGACGCCGCGUGAGGGAUGACGGCCUUCGGGUUGUAAACCUCUUUCAGCAGGGAAGAAGCCACAAGUGACGGUACCUGCAGAAGAAGCGCCGGCUAACUACGUGCCAGCAGCCGCGGUAAUACGUAGGGCGCAAGCGUUGUCCGGAAUUAUUGGGCGUAAAGAGCUCGUAGGCGGUUUGUCGCGUCUGCUGUGAAAGCCCGGGGCUUAACCCCGGGUGUGCAGUGGGUACGGGCAGACUAGAGUGCAGUAGGGGAGACUGGAAUUCCUGGUGUAGCGGUGGAAUGCGCAGAUAUCAGGAGGAACACCGAUGGCGAAGGCAGGUCUCUGGGCUGUUACUGACGCUGAGGAGCGAAAGCAUGGGGAGCGAACAGGAUUAGAUACCCUGAUAGUCCAUGCCGUAAACGUUGGGCACUAGGUGUGGGGGACAUUCCACGUUUUCCGCGCCGUAGCUAACGCAUUAAGUGCCCCGCCUGGGAGUACGGCCGCAAGGCUUAAAACUCAAGGAAUUGACGGGGGGCCCGCACAAGCGGCGGAGCAUGCGGAUUAAUUCCGAUGCCAACGCGAAGAACUCUUACCAAGGCCUUGACCUUAUACCGGAUCGUCCGAAGAUGUUCUUCCCCCUUUGUGUGUCCGGAUACAGGGCUGCCAUGUUGCCGCCAGCUCCCGAGCCAUGUAGAAGUUGGGGU